CAGCCGCCACGGUAAUACGUAGGCGGCAAGCGUUGUCCGGAAUUAUUGGGCGUAAAGGGAGCGCAGGUGGGACGGUAAGUCCGUCUUAAAAGGCAGGGGCUCAGCCCCUGUAAGGGAUGGAAACUAGUAGGCUAGAGUAUCGGAGAGGAAAGCGGAAUUCCUAGUGUAGCGGUGAAAUGCGUAGAUAUUAGGAAGAACACCAGUGGCGAAGGCGGCUUUCUGGACGAAAACUGACGCUGAGGCGCGAAAGCCAGGGGAGCGAACGGGAUUAGAUACCCCCGUAGUCCCUGUCUCUUAUACA
rnacentral:rRNA from 1 species